rnacentral:rRNA from 1 species
UCGUCAGCUCGUGUUGUGAAAUGUUGGGUUAAGUCCCGCAACGAGCGCAACCCUUAUCCUUUGUUGCCAGCACGUGAUGGUGGGAACUCAAAGGAGACUGCCGGUGAUAAACCGGAGGAAGGUGGGGAUGACGUCAAGUCAUCAUGGCCCUUACGAGUAGGGCUACACACGUGCUACAAUGGCAGAUACAAAGAGAAGCGACCUCGCGAGAGCAAGCGGAACUCAUAAAGUCUGUCGUAGUCCGGAUUGGAGUCUGCAACUCGACUCCAUGAAGUCGGAAUCGCUAGUAAUCGUAGAUCAGAAUGCUACGGUGAAUACGUUCCCGGGCCUUGUACACACCGCCCGUCACACCAUGGGAGUGGGUUGCAAAAGAAGUAGGUAGCUUAACCUUCGGGAGGGCGCUUACCACUUUGUGAUUCAUGACUGGGGUGAAGUCGUAACAAGGUAACCGUAGGGGAACCUGCGGUUGGAUCACCUCCUUACCUAAGAGA